GGGCAUAUGGUGUAGCUGGUUAUCACGCCCGCUUAGCAUUAAGCUGAGUUGCGGGCGGUCUCCGGUUCGAGUCCGGAUUUGUCCA
rnacentral:tRNA from 1 species